GAAUCACUGUCGGAGUCGCUGUCGGAAACUCGGCUACGAACCGAGCGGUCGGAGGUUCGAAUCCUCCCGGAUGCACCA
rnacentral:tRNA from 1 species